rnacentral:misc_RNA from 1 species
AAAUAGUUCAAGUAAAGAGUAGUGGUUAAACUUUUCAUCUUAAUUGAUCAUGUUUAAAAUGAAAAGUUAUUUUAACUCAUUGUUUUUUCUUUUAUUAUUAUUUUAAUAAUAGUUAUCCAAGACGUGCUUUUUUAAUGGGACCAAGCACCUGAGCAUUACAUUUUGAUUAUAGUCAUUUUAGAAAAGCCAAAUGACAUGCAUUGAUACAGCUACUAAAUAGAUUAGAUGGGUUUCAGUUUACUUGAUUUGUUUCUUAUUCAUGGUCCUACUAUUGCCAUUGGUUGCUGUGCUUAAUGAUGUUAUUUUAUUUACUUAUCAAUGAACAUAUUUUUUCGCUCUUGUUGCAGGUGGCUCCUUAUGAACGUCCUG